AGAGUUUGAUCCUGGCUCAGGAUGAACGCUGGCGGCGUGCCUAAUACAUGCAAGUCGAACGAAACUUCUUUAUCACCGAGUGCUUGCACUCACCGAUAAAGAGUUGAGUGGCGAACGGGUGAGUAACACGUGGGCAACCUGCCCAAAAGAGGGGGAUAACACUUGGAAACAGGUGCUAAUACCGCAUAACCAUAGUUACCGCAUGGUAACUAUGUAAAAGGUGGCUAUACUACCGCUUUUGGAUGGGCCCGCGGCGCAUUAGCUAGUUGGUAGGGUAAAGGCUUACCAAGGCAAUGAUGCGUAGCCGAAUUGAGAGGUUGAUCGGCCACAUUGGGACUGAGACACGGCCCAAACUCCUACGGGAGGCAGCAGUAGGGAAUCUUCCACAAUGGGCGAAAGCCUGAUGGAGCAACGCCGCGUGGGUGAAGAAGGUCUUCGGAUCGUAAAACCCUGUUGUUAGAGAAGAAAGUGCGUGAGAGUAACUGUCCACGUUUCGACGGUAUCUAACCAGAAAGCCACGGCUAACUACGUGCCAGCAGCCGCGGUAAUACGUAGGUGGCAAGCGUUAUCCGGAUUUAUUGGGCGUAAAGGGAACGCAGGCGGUCUUUUAAGUCUGAUGUGAAAGCCUUCGGCUUAACCGGAGUAGUGCAUUGGAAACUGGGAGACUUGAGUGCAGAAGAGGAGAGUGGAACUCCAUGUGUAGCGGUGAAAUGCGUAGAUAUAUGGAAGAACACCAGUGGCGAAAGCGGCUCUCUGGUCUGUAACUGACGCUGAGGUUCGAAAGCGUGGGUAGCAAACAGGAUUAGAUACCCUGGUAGUCCACGCCGUAAACGAUGAAUGCUAGG
rnacentral:rRNA from 1 species